rnacentral:rRNA from 1 species
GACGAACGCUGGCGGCGUGCCUAAUACAUGCAAGUAGAACGCUGAAGAGAGGAGCUUGCUCUUCUUGGAUGAGUUGCGAACGGGUGAGUAACGCGUAGGUAACCUGCCUUGUAGCGGGGGAUAACUAUUGGAAACGAUAGCUAAUACCGCAUAACAAUGGAUGACACAUGUCAUUUAUUUGAAAGGGGCAAUUGCUCCACUACAAGAUGGACCUGCGUUGUAUUAGCUAGUAGGUGAGGUAAUGGCUCACCUAGGCGACGAUACAUAGCCGACCUGAGAGGGUGAUCGGCCACACUGGGAAUGAGACACGGCCCAGACUCCUACGGGAGGCAGCAGUAGGGAAUCUUCGGCAAUGGGGGCAACCCUGACCGAGCAACGCCGCGUGAGUGAAGAAGGUUUUCGGAUCGUAAAGAUCUGUUGUAAGUCAAGAACGGGUGUGAGAGUGGAAAGUUCACACUGUGACGGUAGCUUAACAGAAAGGGACGGCUAACUACGUG